GGCAGUGUGGUCUAGUGGUAAGGAGCAGGGCUUGUAACCAAAAGGUUACUGGUUCGAUUCCCUGCUGAGGCACUGCUG